UACGUAGGGCGCAAGCGUUGUCCGGAAUUAUUGGGCGUAAAGAGCUCGUAGGCGGCUUGUCACGUCGAUUGUGAAAGCCCGAGGCUUAACCUCGGGUCUGCAGCCGAUACGGGCUAGCUAGAGUGUGGUAGGGGAGAUCGGAAUUCCUGGUGUAGCGGUGAAAUGCGCAGAUAUCAGGAGGAACACCGGUGGCGAAGGCGGAUCUCUGGGCCAUUACUGACGCUGAGGAGCGAAAGCGUGGGGAGCGAACAGG
rnacentral:rRNA from 1 species